UUGGAUUGGGGUUUGUUUUUUUCUUAGCUCUAAGGCUGGUUGUUAGAUUAUAUGUUUUAUGAUUAAUAAAAAAAUUAUCUCCUUUCGUGCCCCCAAUAGGUUUUGCGCCUCAACAGGUUAUAAUUUUUUAAAAAAAUUUAAAAAAGACCUUUAAUAGCGCUUUUCUAAAAAGAGCUAUUAAAAAUAGACCUACAAUAGCACUUUUCAAUAGGCUGUUGUUAUGGAUAUUGCUAUGAAUUGCAUUUUCAUAUGAUUUUUUAGAAUUGUAGAUAUAUCAAGGAUUUGUCAAUUUUCUUGAAAUGGAUCGGUUAUCAAGAAUUAUUUGUAAAUUUUUUGAUUAUUGAAUAUAACUCUUUAUUGGAUAAUCGAGAUAUAUGUUUAUAUGUUUUGCAGUGAGCCGAAGUCCGGAUAAUGAUUCUUGAUUCAACGGAUAAUUACGAAUUUUUUCAGAUAGUUAAAUCAAAUUUCAUCCAUGAGUUGUUCUUUAUUAUUCCUUAUUUUUUUAACUUUGAUG
rnacentral:lncRNA from 1 species